UACGGAGGGUGCGAGCGUUGUCCGGAAUCAUUGGGCGUAAAGGGCGCGUAGGUGGCCCGGUCAGUUCGUGGUGAAAGCGCGGGGCUCAACUCCGCGUCGGCCAUGAAUACUGCUGGGCUCGAGCACUGUAGAGGCAGGCGGAAUUCCGGGUGUAGCGGUGGAAUGCGUAGAGAUCCGGAAGAACACCGGUGGCGAAGGCGGCCUGCUGGGCAGUAGCUGACACUGAGGAGCGAAAGCGUGGGGAGCGAACAGG
rnacentral:rRNA from 1 species